rnacentral:rRNA from 1 species
UACGUAGGGUGCGAGCGUUGUCCGGAAUUAUUGGGCGUAAAGGGCUCGUAGGCGGUCUGUCGCGUCGGGAGUGAAAACUCAGGGCUUAACCCUGAGCCUGCUUCCGAUACGGGCAGACUAGAGGUAUGCAGGGGAGAACGGAAUUCCUGGUGUAGCGGUGGAAUGCGCAGAUAUCAGGAGGAACACCAAUGGCGAAGGCAGAUCUCUGGGCCGUAACUGACGCUGAGGAGCUAAAUCAUGGGGAGCGAACAUG